GACCUUCGCGGGGCCCGUUCCCGCCGCAGCCUCUGGGCGGGGCUUCUCCCUGCCCCGGCCUCCGCCCUCGGUGUCCGGUCGGCGGAACUGGAGCUGCUCGCGGAGCCGGCCCGCCGCACAGGACAGCGGAAGAAGGAGAUUCCUUGGAAUGAAACCAGUGGGAGAUCAGCAUUUGGAAGAGUCUCAUCAGAGCAGAUGGGCCAGCAACAGCCAGAAAGCUUGUUGCCUUUGGCUGAGAGCACCACCCUGGAUCAGAAUGUCUUAAAUGCCUACUGGAUCACCAAACAUUGAAACUGAUAGAAGUUGUGACUAUGCCAUCCCCCAGUCACCAAGAACCAAGUAUGAUCCUUCCUUUGUCAUACUUACCUUUCCAUUAAUAACAGCCUCAUUUAUGUGAUUGCCUGCAGUUCAUCUUCUCCUCUCCUCUAUCCUCAAUAGACUGGAAAUUUCAAAAGAACAUAGACCAUGUCUAUUUUGGCCCACCGACGUAUCUCCAGCACCAAGCCUGGUACAUAGUAGAUAUUCAAGAAAUAUUUGUGGAAAGAAUGGAUGAAUGAAUAGAUCACCUUGUUUUAUAGAUGAGGAAACAGAGGCACAAAGAGGUAUGGUUCUUAAUGACAAAGCUGAGAUAAGAAGUCAGGUCUCCUAGUUCACAGGCCAGACAGCAUUCUUUUUAUUUUCCUUUGUGUUCUCUCAGUAUUGGAGUUGGAACAUCUUGGGGUCUAGUCUAACCCUUUCAUUUUACGAAUGGGAAACUGAGGCCUAGAAAGGAGAAGAAUUCACCCAAGUUCACAGAUGGCAGCACUGGCAGAGCCAGGCCUAGAACCCAGGUCUCCUGACUCCCAAGCUACUGCUCUUCCUUUGUAAAGGCAUAUUAAAAACAAAGCUGAAUUGGGCUUAUUGCCAAGCCCCUGCAGGAGGUCACAUAGCCAAGCAGCUCUCAGAGUUCCUUGUCUAUUCUUAGCCUGAACUUUUAGUGACUCUGGUCUUCAGCAGCCAUCCUCCCCGCCCCCCCUUCCUUUGCAUUUGAUUUUUUGUGUAUAUGUGCUGCGUGUUUUAAAUAAAGGGUGCUACGUGUAGGAAAUGGGCUUCAGCACAGUCCUG
rnacentral:lncRNA from 1 species